UUGGUAAAAUGUAUGAUGACAAAAUUUACCAUCUUGACCAUUUUUUAAAACAUUUAUUUUUAUUUAUUUAUGGAUGCAAGAACUGGGAUGUAGGCCAGAGGCAUGGAUUCACCAGAGACACAGUGGGUAGCAGAACAGGCAGAUUUACUGAAAUACACUGCUGAGGGGAGCAGUGGGUGAGGCAGGAGAGGUCUGCUGUCAAACCCAUGUGGGUUUGAUCCCUGGCUAGGGUUUGAACUUAUGCCUUGGUGGCUGGUGAUAGCUUGGAUAGUGCUCUCACUUUUAAAUUAAGGUUUCAGAUGAUUUAAAACUGAGAGGGAAGACUGAAACAACUGGAUAUCAGAUUUAGGGUUUGAAAGGAACUUGAUGGAUUAGAAAUCAAGAAAGAAAACUAUGGCUAAUAUAAAGUCUUGUUAACUCAAAACGAGUGAAGAAUAUGAAGGAGUUCUAAAGUCUUGACUGUCAUCUUUGAUUGCAUUAGUGAAAUAAAGUACUGAGAAUAGAAGAGUUAAUAGCCUCUCUUUUCUGCUCAGGUUAGAUUGCACUGCGCAAAGGGUGUUCAGCUCUGGGCACACACUCCACAAAGGACAAUGGCAAUCCGGAGCAUGGUCAAGAAAGAAUAAGAAGGAUGGGGAAUGAGCAACAGUUAAAGGACCUAAAAAAGUUUGACCUGGAGAAGAGGAAAUAGGGAGGAAUGGAUUAUCUUUUGUAUAAUCCUAGAAGGUUGGAAACUCUUUAGUUGAGGAUGAAAAGGAAAAAGGACAAGAGAUUCUUUCCUUAUAGUUACGUCAUCCCAGGUUACUACACAUCUUAGCUAGUUGCUAUUAUCUUCAGAAUUUGGACCUGUCCCUUUUGAUUUAUCCCUUGGAUUGAAUUGAAGGUCAGUUCCCCUCUUCAUUGCCUGUCCCAGCUCUUGGCCAAAAUGCAGAGAAGCCAACCUACUUUGUCUAUCCCCACAAACAACAAUAAAACAGAUAUUCUCUAUCUUUACUCUGUAAAGAUGUCAGCAAAGUAUGAAUUUGACUCAUCUGUCUGAUUGAUAACUUGAGAGUGUGGUAAAACACAUGACCAUUUUCAUGGAUCAUUGCUGUAUAGUGUUCUACCCUGACUUAUGACAUAGCCUUUUAGUAUAGGCAUAGCAGUACAGUCAAGUUUUCUCAUCUAUGUUUUCUCAUAGAUGGAGGCAAUGCAAGUGUGACUGAUGCAUAUUUUACCUAGUGUGUUCCACUGGC